rnacentral:lncRNA from 1 species
AACUUAAGAAAUCCCCAAAAUAUUCCCCAAAGCUUCCAGAUCUGGAAUUGAAAUUUCAGAUCUGAAAGUCUCUUAGAUUUUAACUUCUUCAAAAGGAAAAACCAAAAUGGCUUACUAUGUCAUUAAUCCAUGGCAGACUCGAGUUUAAUUUUCAACUAACACCUUCAUAACUGCUAGUUUUAGCUGAGUUGAAGUAGUCUGGUAUAUCUCAGUUGGAUUUUGCAUUUGCUGAGUUUGAUUUGGGCUUGAUUUUGAAUUUUCUGAGCAGAUUGGGUCACCUGGAUGUGUACUGGAGUAGUUUUGUAGCUUACAUCUUCUGUUUGACUAUAAAUCAAGUUCCAUUGACUCCAUUGGUAUGGUUAUUUGCUACUGCUGUUGAAUUUCAACUUGUUAUGGACUGGGAUUCCAUUUCUGGGCUGUGAUUCUUGUGUUUGGUUGCUCAUUGUUGUGUUAGACUGUUGCUGACUACUUUAUUUUCCUUAUUCCAUUCAAACAUUCAGGUACUCGAUCUCAAUUCUAACUUGAUGAAAUCAAAGGAGAAAUGCUAUAAAGUAUUCACUCAUUUGCUUCUGGAAAUCACACCAUUUUGGAUAUAAUGUGCUAGCAGUUAAUUAGAUGUUAUAUAUGCUUGUUUAGUUCAAUUAUGACUUGUAUUCACUAUUGGAUUGGUAACUCAUAUUGGACUAAUUGUUAUACACACGGAUUUUACACAUUUUGAUACAUAAUACAUGAAGUUUAGUAUGAGCUCUACAUAAAUAACGGACACACGAUGGCAUGAGUAGAAUAGCUUAAGUCUAUAUUGAUAGGUUACAUUAAAUUAGUAUUUUGCUUGUUUUUUUCGUUUUAGUUAAUUUAUGUAGUUCAAAAGGUCACAUGAACCACGAUUGUUUCUCCUAAAGCGUGCUGCCUUGAUAGUUGUUGUUGUUUACAAUUCAACUUGAUUUACUAAAGUUCAAUCUGACUAGGGUGAACCAAUUGAAAUAACUUGAAACAAGUCUUGGGGUAAUUGUUCCAAUUAAUUUAUUGCGUUUAGUUUAAGGAUUUGGUUUAACAACUUCAUUUAUGAAGUUUAGUUCUUAGUCCAUUAAUGAGCAGCCCAUGCCCUUUUUUAUGACUAUGUACGUAUGGGCAUGGGCUGAGAUUUGCAAUGAGCCAGUUUAGUUUUGGUAUAAAUUGGUUAAGACUUUUGCUUGUUUUUUUAGAGAUAAAUAGUUAGAGAAAACCAUAUCUCUUUAGGAUCGGCUUUCAAAUAAUUAGAUGAGCCUCGCCUAACAAAAACAAUUGCGGGGACCUCGAUAAGGGUUAAAAAUAUUUAGAACUCGAGAGGGGCGUUUAGCAAUUUCCCGGCCUUCCCCUAAAUAAUAUUGCGAUAGAAUCUUUAGGAGCGCUUUAAUGAAAUUACAUUCUUAAACUUGGGUAUACAUUGAUGCGACCCAAAUCCAAAUCUCGACGAAUUCGAAAUGUGUCGACGAUUACGUAUACACUGGUGGUGACGUGAUUAGAAAUACGUUUUCACGACGUCGAAUGUCUUUUUAGAUAAAUAUUCGUAAAAGCGGUUUCAUUAAUAAAAGGCUUAUAAGCUAGCAUGUAAUAAAAUCAGAUAAAAUUAAAUAAAACAAUUAAUCGACCGUGCUAGAACCACGGAACCCGGGAAUGCCUAACACCUUCUCUCGGAUUAACAGGACUCCUUACUCGGAUUUCUGGUUCACAGACUGUAACAGAGUCAUAAUCUUGCUCGGUUUGGGAUUCAAAUAGGUGACAUAGGACACCAUAAAUCUCCCAGGUGGCAACUCUAAAUAAAUAAUAACUCAAUCCCGUUCCGAUUGUUCUUUAAGUGGAAAAACUCGUUUAUGCCCCUUUGCGGGGGUGUAUAGCGAAAAAGAGAGGUGUGACAACUUUCCCUAUUUGACUAAAUUGCAAUAUUUGCCUUUCUGGUGAAGCGUGUUAGAUUCUCGAUUUUACUGGUUGUUCGCAUUUCGCUUUCUUUCCGUUAAAUAUUGGUUUGUUGUGGUGUAUUUACUAUUGGGACGAUGGAACGACAUCCCGCAAGCUCCCCUUGUUCAUAUUUUGUUCUGAGGUUUGGAAGUGAGGGAUACCAGAUAUCCCCAGCACUAGAUUGAUUAACUGGCAGAUACUAAGAGAUUUCCAGUGCAGGACUGAUUAACUGGCGGAUACAAAGAAAUCCCUAGGGCAGGACUGAUUAACUAGAGGAUACUAAGAGAUCAUCGGGAUACUUGGAGAUCCCUUGCUUAUGUGAUGAGGAUACUGGAGAUCCUCGGGAUACUUGGAGAUCCCUUGCUUAUAUGAUGAGGAUACUGGGAGAUCCUUGGGAUACUUGGAGAUCCCUUAUGCGUAUGACGAGGAUACCGAGAUAUUCUCGGGGUACCACGAGAUCCCCAAUGACAAGUAGCCUAUUGUGAUUGUUCUUGUUUAGUAUAACUAUAAUAUAGCCUAUUCCGUUCUUCUUAUUGUUUGUUAGAUAUUUGAGAUUUACGUAUUUUCCUACUGUUAUUUCAUUUCAUAAUUUUUUCUUAUGUUUAUCUCAGUAGGGGCCUCGACCUUCCUCGUCACUACUCCACUGAGGUUAGGCUUGGCACUUUCUGAGUACCGUCGUGGUGUACUCAUGCUAUACUCUGCACACUUUUUGUUGUGCAGAUCCAGGUACUACUGGUCAGGCGCGCUAUUAAGGAUAUUAGAGCUACAUUUGGAGGCUUGAGCUACGCAUAUGCCGCGUCCCCAGAUUCGAAGAGUUACUUCUAUUCUACCUUUAGUUAGUAGUUUCAUUCAUGUACUCACGUGUUGUAGAUAUUUCUGGAUGUUAUAGCCAUGUGUUAUACUUUACUCUUAGCAUGUGUUGCCCGUGGGUUUCCGGGCCUUGGAGGUUUUACAUUAUUUGAGUCGAAGUGUAUGUGCCAAGCGGCUCCCUAUACAUUUUCUUAUGCUAUUAAUCUUUUAUUUAUCAUUUUUUCAUAAGGAUUGUUGAAUUUCCA